rnacentral:misc_RNA from 1 species
AAUUAUCAAUCCUCUUCAAGUUGAGAGGCUUUGGACUUUGGAGUUGCUGGCUUGAAAAAGUUAGCUUCUCUUAAAUGUAUUAGCUUGUACUUUUGCAGAUGAGCUUUAGUUUGAUAAAAAUAUCUACUAUUUAGCUGUGAAGCAAAUGUUGGCUUUCUAAUUGUUCUUUGGAACACUUUUGACCUU